rnacentral:rRNA from 1 species
AAUAGCUCACUGGUCGAGUCGGCCUGCGCGGAAGAUGUAACGGGGCUAAAACAUGCACCGAAGCUGCGGCAGCGACACUAUGUGUUGUUGGGUAGGGGAGCGUUCUGUAAGCCUGCGAAGGUGACCUGUGAGGGUUGCUGGAGGUAUCAGAAGUGCGAAUGCUGACAUAAGUAACGAUAAAGCGGGUGAAAAGCCCGCUCGCCGGAAGACCAAGGGUUCCUGUCCAACGUUAAUCGGGGCAGGGUGAGUCGACCCCUAAGGCGAGGCCGAAAGGCGUAGUCGAUGGGAAACAGGUUAAUAUUCCUGUACUUGGUGUUACUGCGAAGGGGGGA